GACGAACGCUGGCGGCGCGCCUAACACAUGCAAGUCGAACGAGAGAGAAGGAGCUUGCUUCUUCGAUCGAGUGGCGAACGGGUGAGUAACGCGUGAGGAACCUGCCUCAAAGAGGGGGACAACAGUUGGAAACGACUGCUAAUACCGCAUAAGCCCACGGGUCGGCAUCGACCAGAGGGAAAAGGAGCAAUCCGCUUUGAGAUGGCCUCGCGUCCGAUUAGCUAGUUGGUGAGGUAAUGGCCCACCAAGGCGACGAUCGGUAGCCGGACUGAGAGGUUGAACGGCCACAUUGGGACUGAGACACGGCCCAGACUCCUACGGGAGGCAGCAGUGGGGAAUAUUGCACAAUGGGGGAAACCCUGAUGCAGCGACGCCGCGUGGAGGAAGAAGGUCUU
rnacentral:rRNA from 1 species